rnacentral:misc_RNA from 1 species
UUUCCGUAGGUGAACCUGCGGAAGGAUCAUUGUCGAACCCUGCCCAGCAGAACGACCCGCGAACUUGUAUAAACAACCGGGGGCGGGGGGCGUUCUCGCCCCGUGCCCCCGAACGGCGGGGAGACACUCGUGCCUUCUUGCCGAACAACGAACCCCGGCGCGGUCUGCGCCAAGGAACUUCAACUAAAGAGUGCCUCCGGUCGCCUCGGAAACGGCGUGCGUGCCGGGGGCGAAUCUUGUGCAAAACCAUAACGACUCUCGGCAACGGAUAUCUCGGCUCUU